rnacentral:rRNA from 1 species
UACAGAGGUCUCAAGCGUUGUUCGGAUUCAUUGGGCGUAAAGGGUGCGUAGGUGGCGCCGUAAGUCGGGUGUGAAAUUUCGGAGCUUAACUCCGAAACUGCAUUCGAUACUGGCGUGCUUGAGGACUGGAGAGGAGACUGGAAUUUACGGUGUAGCAGUGAAAUGCGUAGAUAUCGUAAGGAAGACCAGUGGCGAAGGCGGGUCUCUGGACAGUUCCUGACAC